GCAAACGGAGUAUGGGGUAUGUCUUAUUGUGGUUAAGGAGGAGAGUUUGUG
rnacentral:tRNA from 1 species